GUUCCAGACUCACUACAUUGUAGAUGUUCCAGACUCACUACAUUGUAGAUGUUCCAGACUCACUACAUUGUAGAUGUUCCAGACUCACAUUGCCUGGCUGAUCAUACCACACUUGGACAGGUGUUCAACUUAUCAGCUAGCUCCGUCAUAUAUAUAUAUAUAUAUAUAUAUAUCUAUUAGUAAAACCCUGGAAUGAGUUGGUGUGUCCAAACUUUUGACUGGUGUGUGUGUGUAUAUAUAUAUGAGCAAUAUACAUACAGUGCCUUCAUAAAGUAUUCAUACCCCUCUGUACACAAUAUGACAUUUUCUUAUUAAUUUGUCAAACAUUUGUAAAAACAUAAUUCCACUUUGACAUUAUGUGGUAUUGUAUGUAGGUCAGUGACCCAAAAUCUCCAAUUGAAUCCAUUUUCAAUUCAGGCUGUGACAACAAAAUGUGGAGAGAAAAAAAAAAAGUCCAGGGGUGUGAAUUCUGUAGCUAUAGACGUCUGACCUCGCAAACAAGCACGACUGCAAUAUAGUCGGCCUGGAACGGGGCCAUAGUUUGAGAAUUGCAGUCGGAGUCAGAAAAGCUGUUCCAGGAACAUGCUUUCCGGAUGCUAAUGGAUUAUUGCUCAGAGUUUUAAGCACUUCAAACACUAUAACACUAAAAAAAAUGUAAGGUUACAUUGAUAUUUUCAAGAUAUAAUGUAUGUCACAUUUUAGUGUAGUGAAAUAAUAUCGGUCCAUCUUGCAGCAACCACCGUUCAUCAGCUCUGACGAACCUUCUACAACAGGCCAGUAUCAUCAACAUGACAACCACACCCCCAACCACCGUUCAUCAGCUCUGACGAACCUUGUACAACAGGCCAGUAUCAUCAACAUGACAACCACACCCCCAACCACCGGUCAUCAGCUCUGACGUACCUUCUACAACAGGCCAGUAUCAUCAACAUGACAACCACACCCCCAACCACUGCAGAAAAGGGUGGACUGGUCCUUCUCUGGGAAACACAUCACAAGAAUAAGGACAGAUGUAUUGCCUCUUGCCAGACCACCAUUGUAAACAAGUUCUCUGUAACUAUCUCGCUUGGUUAAGGACUUCACGUUUGUUUCAAUUACAUACAAUAAGAGCAUUUACAGUCCCUGUACAGAUGUAUGACCCUGGAGUGUUGAGGUAUGUUUUGGGGGCAAGGGGUUUGGCUGAUCGACACUCAACGACACCUACAGCGAAUCAAUCAAAAACACAAAAAUAGUACAGGACCAACCUAAACAACAUUCACCUCCUUCACUAUUACCCUCCUCUCUAGGCCCUGUAGAGCUGAAGUCGUCGAUACUGUACUCCUCACUAGGCCCUGUAGAGCUGAAGGUGUCGAUACAGUACUCCUCGCUAGGCCCUGUAGAGCUGAAGGUGUCGAUACAGUACUCCUCGCUAGGCCCUGUAGAGCUGAAGGUGUCUACUGUGAGGUUCUGUGUUAUGCACUAUAGCCCGUUACCAUAUCAUAUGUGAUUGAAUAUUAUCUGCUGUUGUGUGGAUGUAUGUGUUAUGCAACAUGGCUGACUUGAGACAUUGUUAACAGUUUCAGGGCCAUGGGCCUUUCUCAUGAUGGAAAAAUACAGAAUGACACGAAGACAGGAACUGUGCAAUGAGUUGGGGGGAGCACAUUCAGAACGUAGUGUUGCGAGAACAAACGGUAUUUUGUUAGAUAACAGAAGCCAGGUGCCUGAUAACUGUAUAUUCUACACAGCUUCAACGACUGACCGUUGAAGUGCUUAGGGGGCUGGGACCAGCCUCUGCGCCAACAGUCAACGAUAGGCUGGGUGAGUCUAAACCACGCCCAGUCUCUACUCUGACAGGCCGGCUCGGAAGCAGGAACUACCUCUGUCAGAGUAUAUUUAUAAUAUCUUUGUCAGGAACAAGUCAGUUCUCCGUUUGACAGAGAGCCCGUAUAUACGAAAAUUGCAUUUACCACUUAUUACUUAGCUAAUAAAAAAUACAUAGUAUACAAUCGGUGACUCAAUGUCAUAUUUAUCCUGAUACCAGAUUCGAUUUUGACGCAACCCUAACAGUAUGUUGAAGAGAGGGAAAGACUGAAGUGUUGGAUUGAGGUUGGAGAGGUUUGGAAGGGGGAUGAGGGAGUUUUUUUAAAAUAAGUUAGUAGGGCUCUUUUUUUCUCUUCUUUUUUCUCAGAAGUACUGAGUUCGGUAGGAGGAUUUAGAAAUGUGGAGCUAAUGUUGUGAUUGACCAGACACUCCAGCACAAUCGGUGGUGGCAAACACCUUUUAACGUUUGUUUGCGGACCCCCGUUAUAUCAUAGAAGAAUAACAAGCCCGUCUGAGUUCUUAUUUGUUCUUGAACACAGCUCAUAUUGUGUGUUUACAUUGGCGAAGUCUUCCCCCCCCACCCUGUCUUUUUCAAGUGGACGUUUUCCAAGUCGUUUCAACAAGUGGUUAGAUGGAGAGAGAAAAUAUAUCAAGUGCUUAUAGUUAGUUAGCUCGUAGAUUUAUCAAAAGCAGAGUGGGUAGACACUUUUUGUCGAUGUGCACAAGAGGAACUAACUUAACUAGCCCAUUUCGCCUGCUGGGUUCUUCUAGAUGUAGCGAACUAACGUUAAGUAGCUCAAUCUAGUCAAGUAAUUUAGUCAACAAACAUUCAACACUGAAACUAAACAUUUUGAUUUCCUUGCUCAAAUAUGGGGAUGUGUUUACCGUGCCUUGGUGGAUCUGGAAACGACUUGUCCCCCACACCAGAUCGAGAGACAAGGAGACGUCAGCUGGCAGAGACAGCCGAGCAGAGACAGAAAGAGAAAUUCUUCAGUCAAAGCCAAUUGUAUCCAACCCAUAAAGCAUGUCGGCCUAAUAAAGCAUCGAGACAACCUCCAGGGGCGUCUAAAACCCCCAAGCAGCUGAGAGAAAUAAAAAGAAUAAGGAGAUGGAGAAACAAGAGAUGAGACCGUCUCCACCUGGAGGAGGAGGAGGGCUGAAGGUAGAGAUGGACAUGGAGAGAUCCUGGAAGUCUCAAUCUAGACGGAGGUUCAGCUAACAACAUGAAGAGUGUUGGUACCAGUUGACUUGAAAAGGCUUUUUUUGGGAUGUUGGCCCUUCUACUACAUUUUUAAAUAUUUUUAAAUGCAAGCUUAUUUUUUUUUUAGAGGGGAUUGUUUGCCAGGCUUCGACACAAAAAAAAUAAAGAUUCUACUGCCCAAUGUUGGCAGUGUGAAUCACAGGACGUGCCUCCCUUAAUGCCAAGAUAUACAAGAGGAAAAUGCAAGCCAGCCAAUGGAGCUUUGGAACAGACAGGGUGGCAUAGCUAUGAAUAGAAUAUACACACUCAGAGGAAAUAUGCUCACACUACAUCUAUAAACUGUACCAGGCAUCUUGCAGCGUACUCUCUCUUUGUCCUCUCUCCUCAUGCUCCUCCUUCUUUCUCUCAGCCAUUUCAACUUGGCCAGCUUUAACACCAUGGUGCUUUCUUCUUCUGAGGAAUAUUCUCAGUCUUGUGACCUAUUUACUGUAUAGUACAUUUUCCUUCUAAAAUGAUUUUAUGCUACAAAGUCCUUUUAAUGUUCAAAAUAGGCCUAGAUGAUUCAAAUGACGUUUUCUAUUGUAGAUCAGUGUGAAAAGAACUACGUUUCCCAUAGCUACUGAUGAACCAUGUGAAUGUUUUGAGUUCAUGCACUAGCACUAUGCAGUUUACUUGUCUAUUGUAGUUCAGUGUGAAAAGAACUACGUUUCCCAUAGCUACCUACUGAUGAUAUAUGUCUGUGCAAUAUAAGUUAUUUGCUACACAUUGUAAUGGUUUCUAUCGGUUUGUAAUGUAUGAAGAAAAUGCUUUAUUUAAAUGAGAUAAGACAUUUGUAAUGUAUGAAGAAAAUGCUUUAUUUAAAUGAGAUAGGACAUUUGUAAUGUAUGAAGAAAAUGCUUUAUUUAAAUGAGAUAAGACAUUUGAGUUGUGAAAGCCUGAUGAAAGUGUUUAUGCAUGUCACAAGGUGGCUCCCCUUCCCGUUCGGGUGGCGCUCGGCGGUCAUCGUCGCCGGCCUACUAGCUGCCACUGAUUUCUUUCCUCCCCCUCCUUAUGUAUUUAUUGAGUACACCUGUUUUGAGUUGGUUGUAAUUAGUUGGGCUUUAUUAGUCAGCCGGCCCGUCCGUUUCUUUGUGCGGGAUUGAUUAUUGUAACCCUGGUGUUUGUUAUUGUGGAACGUGUUGGUUGUAUGAUCGUGUGCUGGACUGUUUCGUUCCCCGUCUCUGGGGCAUUUUUGUUGUGAGCACCCAGUGUUUAGUAGGGUGGCCGUGGUUCACCCUGCAUUAAAGGAGCACUAUAUUGAA